rnacentral:rRNA from 1 species
GUAUAAGCAAUUAUACCGCGAAACUGCGAAUGGCUCAUUAAAUCAGUUAUCGUUUAUUUGAUAGUUCCCUACUACUUGGAUAACCGUGGUAAUUCUAGAGCUAAUACAUGCAAAAAACCGCGACUUCGGAAGCGGUGUAUUUAUUAGAUUAAAGACCAAUGCCCUUCGGGGCUGACUGGUGAUUCAUGAUAACUUCUCGAAUCGCACGGCCUUGCGCCGGCGAUGGUUCAUUCAAAUUUCUGCCCUAUCAACUUUCGACUUUAGCGUAGUGGGCUAAAGUGGUUACAACGGGUAACGGAGGGUUAGGGCUCGACCCCGGAGAAGGAGCCUGAGAGACGGCUACUACAUCCAAGGAAGGCAGCAGGCGCGCAAAUUACCCAAUCCCGACACGGGGAGGUAGUGACAAUAAAUACUGAUACAGGGCUCUUUUGGGUCUUGUAAUUGGAAUGAGUACAAUUUAAAUCCCUUAACGAGGAACAAUUGGAGGGCAAGUCUGGUGCCAGCAGCCGCGGUAAUUCCAGCUCCAAUAGCGUAUAUUAAAGUUGUUGUGGUUAAAAAGCUCGUAGUUGAACCUGGGCCUCGCGCAGACCGGUCCGCCUCACCGCGUGCACUGGUCCUGCCGGGGCUUUCACUAGGGGAUUCGCAUGCCCUUCACUGGGCGUGCGCGGAACCUGGACCUUUACUGUGAAAAAAUUAGAGUGUUCAAAGCAGGCCUAUGCUCGAAUACAUUAGCAUGGAAUAAUAGAAUAGGACGUGUGGUUCUAUUUUGUUGGUUAUGGGACCGCCGUAAUGAUUAAUAGGGACAGUCGGGGGCAUCAGUAUUCAAUUGUCAGAGGUGAAAUUCUUGGAUUUAUUGAAGACUAACUACUGCGAAAGCAUUUGCCAAGGAUGUUUUCAUUAAUCAGGAACGAAAGUUAGGGGAUCGAAGACGAUCAGAUACCGUCGUAGUCUUAACCAUAAACUAUGCCGACUAGGGAUCGGGCGAUGUUACUUUUUGACUCGCUCGGCACCUUACGAGAAAUCAAAGUUUGUGGGUUCCUGGGGGAGUAUGGUGGCAACGCUGAAACUUAAAGAAAUUGACGGAAGGGCACCACCAGGGGUGGAGCCUGCGGCUUAUUUGACUCAACCCGGGGAAACUCACCAGGUCCAGACACAAUGAGGAUUGACAGAUUGAGAG